AUUCAACCCUAAAACACCACAUGGCCGGCUAUCCCCAUUCAAAACCUAAUCCAUCACUUUUUCUACCUUUUUCACCAUUUCUUCCUUUUUAUUAGCCAAUUAAUUCCAUAACCACAAAAAUAUUUCCUUUUAUGUUUAAUUAGCCAAUUCACUUUUUCUACCUUUUUCACCAUUUCUUCCUUUUUAUUAGCCAAUUAAUUCCAUAACCACAAAAAUAUUUCCUUUUAUGUUUAAUUAGCCAAUUAAUUGGCUAAUUAAACCAAAAUAAAACCUAAACCAACCUAGCCCUAUAAAUAGGCUCAUAUUUUCACCAAAUAUUCAUUCCAACACUUUGGCAAAAAUCCCAAAAUUCUCUAAACACUCUUAUUCUCUAAACACUCUUUCUUUCUAAAUUCUAACUUUGGCAUCGGAGGUUCUUCGGCCAAAGCCCCCCCAUUCAUCGUGGGCGCAUGAGGCUCUUGGCCUUAACUUAAGGUGUUAAUUGUUUUGUAGGUGCAAAAUUGUCCAAGAUCAAGGAGGAAGAAAUUUGCAUCCACAAUUAUUGUGUUAAAC
rnacentral:lncRNA from 1 species